GACGAACGCUGGCGGCGUGCUUAACACAUGCAAGUCGAACGGAAAGGCCCUGCUUUUGUGGGGUGCUCGAGUGGCGAACGGGUGAGUAACACGUGAGUAACCUGCCCUUGACUUUGGGAUAACUUCAGGAAACUGGGGCUAAUACCGGAUAGGAGCUCCUGCUGCAUGGUGGGGGUUGGAAAGUUUCGGCGGUUGGGGAUGGACUCGCGGCUUAUCAGCUUGUUGGUGGGGUAGUGGCUUACCAAGGCCUUGACGGGUAGCCGGCCUGAGAGGGUGACCGGCCACAUUGGGACUGAGAUACGGCACAGACUACUACGGGAGGCAGCAGUGGGGAAUAUUGCACAAUGGGCGGAAGCCUGAUGCAGCAACGCCGCGUGCGGGAUGACGGCCUUCGGGUUGUAAACCGCUUUCGCCUGUGACGAAGCGUGAGUGACGGUAAUGGGUAAAGAAGCACCGGCUAACUACGUG
rnacentral:rRNA from 1 species